rnacentral:rRNA from 1 species
GCAACCUGCGAUGGUGUCGGGGCUUGGCUUGGUCAGGUUGGGGGGGGGCGAUGAGAUAUUCCUUGUGGGGAAAUGGAGCUAACGGUGAGAUACCACUCUGGCGAGCUAGAAUCUAACCUGGCACCCUGAUCGGGUGUAGGAACAGUUUCAGGUGGGCAGUUUGACUGGGGCGGUCGCCUCCUAAAAGGUAACGGAGGCGCGCAAAGGUUCUCUCAGCACGCUUGGAAACCGUGCGGCGAGUGUAAAGGCAAAAAGAGAGCUUGACUGCGAGACUGACAAGUCAAGCAGGUAGGAAACUAGGCCUUAGUGAUCCGACGGCACAGAAUGGAAUGGCCGUCGCUCAACGGAUAAAAGUUACUCUAGGGAACCCACGCUGAAAAUCCAACACCAAUUGCGUCCUACUUUGCCGACGACAACCAUCCCCCCCCCCAGUCCCUUUCUUAACU